rnacentral:tRNA from 1 species
GUAGGUAUAGUUUUAAAAAAAACAUUAGAUUGUGAUUCUAAAAAUAGAGGUUUAAAUCCUCUUACCCACC